AGCGUAGACGGAUGGACAAGUCUGAUGUGAAAGGCUGGGGCUCAACCCCGGGACUGCAUUGGAAACUGCCCAUCUUGAGUGCCGGAGAGGUAAGUGGAAUUCCUAGUGUAGCGGUGAAAUGCGUAGAUAUUAGGAGGAACACCAGUGGCGAAGGCGGCUUACUGGACGGUAACUGACGUUGAGGCUCGAAAGCGUGGGGAGCAAACA
rnacentral:rRNA from 1 species